UACGUAGGUGGCAAGCGUUUGUCCGGAUUUAUUGGGUUUAAAGGGUGCGUAGGCGGCCCUGUAAGUCAGUGCUGAAAUAUCUCGGCUUAACCGGGAGGGUGGCAUUGAUACUGCGGGGCUAGAGUACAGAUGAGGUAGGCGGAAUUGACGGUGUAGCGGUGAAAUGCUAGAUAUCGUCAAGAACACCUAUAGCGAAGGCAGCUUACUGGGCUGUAACUGACGCUGAGGCACGAAAGUGUGGGGAUCAAACAGG
rnacentral:rRNA from 1 species